UACAGCGGUCUCAAGCGUUGUUCGGAUUCAUUGGGCGUAAAGGGCGCGUAGGCGGCGGGGUAAGUCGGGUGUGAAAUCUCAGAGCUCAACUCUGAAAUGGCACUUGAUACUGCUCUGCUAGAGGACUGGAGAGGAGAUUGGAAUUCACGGUGUAGCAGUGAAAUGCGUAGAUAUCGUGAGGAAGACCGGUGGCGAAGGCGGAUCUCUGGACAGUUCCUGACGCUGAGGCGCGAAGGCCAGGGGAGCAAACGGG
rnacentral:rRNA from 1 species